UGGGGAGUGGCGCAACGGUAGCGCAGCUGACUCUGGAUCAGAAGGUUGAAGGUUCGAAUCCUUCCUCCCCAG
rfam:Actinobacteria bacterium 13_1_20CM_2_65_11 13_1_20cm_2_scaffold_202, whole genome shotgun sequence.